rnacentral:lncRNA from 1 species
CACCUCAUUUUAAUGAAGAGGAAACUGAGGCCCAGAAGGAGAAGUGGCAUGCCCAAGGCUGUGCCAGAAGCAAAGUGUAAAAUAGAUCCUGAGCCUCCGACUCCUGAACUCCUCCAGGGGACAGCAGCAUCUCUUCUGACUCUUUGCUUCCAUGUCUUGAGGAAGCAGCUUCCUGCCUAUGGCCAUCUGAGGAAGCCAUCUUGGAAGCAGACCCCCCAGCCCCAGUCAAGCCUUCAGAUGACUGCAGUCUCAGCUGACAUCUUGACUUUAAUUAAAAAAACAAAACAAAACAAAACUCCAAGCCAGAACUACCCAACUGGAAUUUGAGAGCUGCUUUCAAAUCCUGACCCGUAGAAACUUAGAUAAUAAAUGUUUGUUGUUUAAAGCCACUCAUUUUUAGAUAAAUUUGUUAUGCAGCAAUAGCUAGCUAGUACAGAGAAUUAACCAGCCUCUCUUAAAUUACCACCACAAAAUCAACUACCUAUUUUAUUAAAAGGUAAAACCAGCUGCUGAAGAACAUUUUUCCUCUCAAGGCUUUGGCACUUAAGAUUCAACAGUAAGAAGGAUUGAAGAGUAAAGGCUUCCUGGCUACCCUCUGGCAUCCUGUGUUUGGUCUGAAGCCUCAUAAGCCUGGGUUAUUCUUCCAGUCCACCUUGUAAGAGACUGAUGUGGAAAAAUG